AAAUUAUGGAUGAAAACCAAUCAGAACAAUCGAAAUAUAUUACGUCUUAUUGGACCAACGAAUAUAAUUUUCGAGUAAACGUAUUAUGAAAGGAGUUAUCUCAUUGGCUCAUUUUUAUCGUAAUUUUUAAUUGGCUAAUUAGACGAUUACCGUUACUUUUUAUAAAUGUAUAUGUGUAUAUGUACAUAUAUAUUAUGUAUAUAUGUGCAGGGAGAGUUCCUCUUUCCCCUUCACGCCCCCAUCCAACAACUGGCAACGGACAUUUAGUAAAUCGUUAUGAGUUACUUACUUCGAAAAGGUUGAUUGUCUCGACAAACUACGUCUGCUUCUAUCCCGAUAGCCAAUAUCUCUAAGAAAAUGUAAGAGGAAGAUGCACCUGUUCACGUGAGGUUGAAAGAGGAGAAAGAUCUUAAGAUCUUACGAUCUUACGAUCGUUAUUUAUACGUGGCAAGAGAUCACGGAGGUCAUUCGAGCGAGUCUACGAUCUUGAGAAAAGAGAUAUGAGAAAAAAAAUAUUUCGAAAGUGAAAAUAUUCAUCCUACUUCGUCGAGGAGAUUUUCUUCAGAAAGUUCAUUCGUUCGAGUUUGAUGAAAAGAAUUCUCUAAAAAGAAAAAAGAAAAAAGAAAAAAGAAAAAAGAGGAA